GGCAGGCUUAAUACAUGCAAGUCGUGGGGCAGCACAGGUAGCAAUACUGGGUGGCGACCGGCAAACGGGUGCGGAACACGUACGCAACCUUCCUUUAAGCGGGGAAUAGCCCAGGGAAACUUGGAUUAAUACCCCAUAAGACAGUGGAGUGGCAUCACUCAGCUGUUAAAGCUCCGGCACUUAAAGAUGGGCGUGCGGCUGAUUAGGUAGUUGGCGGGGUAACGGCCCACCAAGCCGACGAUCAGUAACUGGUGUGAGAGCACGACCAGUCACACGGGCACUGAGA
rnacentral:rRNA from 1 species